rnacentral:rRNA from 1 species
AAUUUUGGUCAAUAGGGGAAACCCUCAUCCAUCAAUCCCGCGAGUCUGAUCAGGUCCUUCGGGCUGUGAAGUACGUUUGGCUGAGGAGAGAAGGUAUCUCCUAAUAUGAGAUACUGCUGACGGUGUCUGCAGAACAAGCGACGGCUAACCACGUGACAGCAGCAGCAGCAAUACGUAGGGUGCAAGCGUUAAUCGGAAUUACUGGGCGUAAAGCGUGUGUAGGCGGUUCGGAAAGAAAAAUGUGCAAUCCCAGGGCUCAACCUUGGAACUUCAAUUUUAACUGCCGCGCUAGAGUAUGUCAGAGGGGGGUAGAAUUCCACGUGUAGCAGUGAAAUGCGUAGAUAUGUGGAAGAAUACCGAUGGCGAAGGCAGCCCCCUGGGAUAAUACUGACGCUGAGGCACGAAAGCGUGGGGAGCAAACA